rnacentral:rRNA from 1 species
UGGGGAAUAUUGGACAGUGGGCGCAAGCCUGAUCCAGCCAUGCCGCGUGAGUGAUGAAGGCCCUAGGGUUGUAAAGCUCUUUCACCGGUGAAGAUAAUGACGGUAACCGGAGAAGAAGCCCCGGCUAACUUCGUGCCAGCAGCCGCGGUAAUACGAAGGGGGCUAGCGUUGUUCGGAAUUACUGGGCGUAAAGCGCACGUAGGCGGACAUUUAAGUCAGGGGUGAAAUCCCGGGGCUCAACCCCGGAACUGCCUUUGAUACUGGGUGUCUAGAGUUCGAGAGAGGUGAGUGGAAUUCCGAGUGUAGAGGUGAAAUUCGUAGAUAUUCGGAGGAACACCAGUGGCGAAGGCGGCUCACUGGCUCGAUACUGACGCUGAGGUGCGAAAGCGUGGGGAGCAAAACAGGAUUAGAUACCCCUGGUAGUCCACGCCGUAAACGAUGGAAGCCAGCUGUCGGCAAGUUUACUUGUCGGUGGCGCAGCUAACGCAUUAAGCUUCCCGCCUGGGGAGUACGGUCGCAAGAUUAAAACUCAAAGGAAUUGACGGGGUCAUAGCUGUUUCCUG